GACGGGUGAGUAACACGUGAGUAACCUGCCCUUGACUUUGGGAUAACUUCAGGAAACUGGGGCUAAUACCGGAUAGGAGCUCCUGCUGCAUGGUGGGGGUUGGAAAGUUUCGGCGGUGGGGAUGGACUCGCGGCUUAUCAGCUUGUUGGUGGGGUAGUGGCUUACCAAGGCUUUGACGGGUAGCCGGCCUGAGAGGGUGACCGGCCACAUUGGGACUGAGAUACGGCCCAG
rnacentral:rRNA from 1 species